GACGAACGCUGGCGGCGUGCUUAACACAUGCAAGUCGAACGAUGAACCGGAGCUUGCUCUGGGGAUUAGUGGCGAACGGGUGAGUAACACGUGGGCAACCUGCCCCAGACACCGGGAUAACCAUUCGAAAGGAUGGCUAAUACCGGAUACGACCACUUCGGGCAUCCGAUGGUGGUGGAAAGGAUUCUGGUCUGGGAUGGGCCCGCGGCCUAUCAGCUUGUUGGUGGGGUAAUGGCCUACCAAGGCGACGACGGGUAGCCGGCCUGAGAGGGCGACCGGCCACACUGGGACUGAGCCACGGCCCAGACUCCUACGGGAGGCAGCAGUGGGGAAUAUUGCGCAAUGGGCGAAAGCCUGACGCAGCGACACCGCGUGAGGGACGAAGGUCUUCGGAUUGUAAACCUCUUUCAGCAGGGAUGAAGCGAAAGUGACAGUACCUGCAGAAGAAGCACCGGCUAACUACGUGCCAGCAGCCGCGGUAAUAC
rnacentral:rRNA from 1 species